rnacentral:rRNA from 1 species
AACGAACGUUAGCGGCGCGCCUAACACAUGCAAGUCGAACGCGACUGGGGGCAACUCCAGUUGAGUGGCGCACGGGUGAGUAACACGUAGGUAAUCUCCCCUCGAGUGGUGGAUAACCUUCCGAAAGGAGGGCUAAUACAGCAUAAGACCACGGCCUCGAAAGAGGCUGAGAUCAAAGCGGAGGAUCGCAAGACUUCGCGCUUGAGGAUGAGCCUGCGGCCCAUCAGGUAGUUGGCGGAGUAACAGCCCACCAAGCCUAAGACGGGUAGCUGGUCUGAGAGGAUGAUCAGCCACACUGGAACUGAGACACGGUCCAGACUCCUACGGGAGGCAGCAGUGGGGAAUCUUGCGCAAUGGACGAAAGUCUGACGCAGCGACGCCGCGUGGGGGAUGAAGGCCUUCGGGUUGUAAAGCCCUGUGGGGAGGGACGAAUAAGUUGCAGCUAAUACCUGCAGCGAUGACGGUACCUCCUUAGCAAGCACCGGCUAACUCUGUGCCAGCAGCCGCAGUAA